AAAAGAGUUUUGAAAUGAGUUCUGAAUAGACAGCAUUUUCUUUGUGCGGGUGGUAAAUAACCCAGCGCAAAGUUAGCAAGUUGCAGCUCCGGCAUCCUGACUCCAUGGAACUUUUUUGUGGGGAGAAGGGCAGGAUGUUUUUAACAGAAUGUGAGCGCCCCGGAGCCCUGGAGAAAGCAAUCCCAUCUCUGAAUGGGGCCGUGUGGAGAAACCCGAAGAGAAACAGCAUAAGAGCCUUUUGGAAUAUAUCCCGGAAAAGAUAAUUUUCUACACAUCUGCAGCGUUUCUCCGGGUAAAGCUGGGUUCCAGUGGGGUUUAGAAUCACAAACCGGGAAACAGGAGGCGCCAGUGGCUGAUGGCUCAAGCACCAUAUCUUAAUGGUCAUUCCCUUGCUCCAAAGGCUACUAGUUUGGUAAGAUUUUAAAAACUUACUCCUUAACUUCAACUACUAGUUGCACUGAAAAAAACUGAAAAAGCUUAGGAGAGGCGGCCAAAUACUAAUUGGUCUGUAGGUCACACAAUCAUUGCCCCUCCUUAUCCUUGGUUGGAUUCUAUAAUGUUUUUGAUGAUUCAAAUGUGGUAUAAUGUUCAUCACACAAGUUUGGGGUAAGAAAAUUUCAAUAUAUAUCAAUGACUUUCAUGCCCUUUGAUCUGGUAGUGAUUACAGUUUCUAAAUAUCCUAAAGAUAUUGGAAAAAAUCAGUUCAUUUAAUCCACAUUUAUUGUCUCACAUUUUCCUGGUACUUUUUUGGGUCUUAGGGAUAGAGCCUAGUGAGUGACACAAAGGUGCUGCUCCCAUGGUUCCUUUCCAAUAAUAAAGUGAUGGACAAAUCAGGAAAUAAAGACAAACAAUAAGGAAAUAUCAGGUAACAACCCUCAAUGUCAAAGACAAGAGCGGAGUCAGGAAACCGCCAGUAAAGUGGGGGUCUGGUGCAUUGCCUGCAUUUACCGAGGGACACUGACAGGGACCCAGGUGAGGUGAGGGCCAGUCUGGUGACUGUCCCUGGAGGGGUGACCUAUAGGGACAGGGCAGGUGCACAGGCUCUCAGAGAGCAUGGACAAGGCUUCUUUCAGGAGGGGCUGUAGUCCGGGCGGUUGGAACAGAAAUGAGGUUGGGGAGAGAGAAGGGAGCCGGAUCUCGUUGGCGGGCUGGGCCCAGGUGAGGAUGGCAGGUGCCCUCUGAGUGUGAUGAGAAGCUGGGGGCCUCUGAGGAGGGGGAGAAGCAUGUGUUAGAGAGAUGGCACAGCGUGUCCGCUGUGGAGGGGCACUUGUGCAUGGGCAGUGCUGGCACUGGGUGGUGAGGACAGCGUGCAGCGGUGAGGCGGAGGAGGGCUGGCUUGGGCAGGUGGGGGAGGUGCCGAGGGACUGGGCUGAGGGACAGAUGUGCUCUGGCUGUGGUCCUGGGGUGGAGCCCCCGAGUUCAAGUCUCGCCCAGACCUCCUAGAGACAGAAGGAUUCUGGACAAGUCACCCCCCCUGAGUCCCAUUUAUCUCAUCUGGAAAGUGCAAACAGUGAUGAUUUGUUCAAGGGCAUUGCCGCUGACGAGAUAAUUCAUGAAACACACGUAAAACUGUGCUUGGCACUUAAUAAAUAUUAAAUAUUUGCAAACUAUUAUCUUUAUUGCUCUAUUACAGUAUAGUCAUGAAAAUAAUCUAGGGGUUUUUUAAAAAAGUUUCUGUUUCUGAAAGAAUCAAAGAAACUAUAAGGAAAUUUACUAUUGCAUACUAUGCUUAGAACACUUUUUAGUCUUAUAAUUUCAGGAGGGACUCUUUUUGCCAGGAACGUCACCAUUUUUUUAAACUUUUGUAUAGAGUAGGUUCCCAGCUCUUAACUCAAUUCCUGGUUUUUACUCUAAGGUGGUACAAUCAUACCCUCCAGUUUGGGGCUGGUUUGUAGUAACCGAGUGGGAAGAAUGAGUCUGUGGAGUCCUGGUUCUGCCUCCACCCUAAGUAAGUCGCUUAGCUUCGCUGAGAUUCAAACUAAAUUUUUUAACUUUUUUAUUUUUAUUGAAAUGUAGUUGAUUUACAAUGUUGUGUUAGGUUUAGGUGUACAGCAAAGUGAUUCAUAUGUAAAUAUAUAUGAAUAUUAUAUAUGUGUGUGUAUAUAUAUAUAUAGAUAUACAUACAUAUUCUUUUUUUACAUUCUCUUUCAUUGUAGGUUAUUCCAAUAUACUGAGUAUAGUUUCCUGCAUUAUAUAGUAGGUUCUGGUUGGCUAUCUAUUUUAUAUAAAGUAGUGUAUGUAUUUUAAACCCAAACUCCUUGAAAUUCAGACUUUACAUCUGUAAGAUAUAUAAAAAUUGGCAGAAGUUGUUGCGGGUGCUCAUUAUACAGAGAAUUUUGUAAAUGUUGGGUUUUCUGAGUUUGUGUUUGUUCUUCCAUCAUCAUAUUUUUCUGCGCAUGUGUGAAAAAAAUGCCUGAAGGCAGGUUCUACGGGAGUAAAUGACACUUGAAGAAAUGUAAAGCCGUAGAUGCUAUAGGUGGAGGAUGACAACACUUUGGGACAAUUGCAUCACCACCACUGCCACAGCCUUGAGAAGAAAAGAUCAUUAACUCACUUAACAAGCCAUCAAGUGUCUGAUGAUAUCUCUCAACUGAGUGAAAAGUGCCUGUUGGGAGAUUUGGUCAGAACGACAACAGAACAUUGGAAAUGCCUUCCUUUCCUCUUCACGAGUCCAUCUGUUACUUCUUUCCGUGUCUGAAGGGCUUCGACACAAAUUGGUGUUUCCAGGUUCUCUUCUGGCACAUGAAUCUACCGUGCACAUGUGUUUGAACUCAGCAGUCCCGGAGGGGGGAUUUUGAAGGACCUUGGACCCUGGUCCUCAGACUUGGUCGAGCUCACCCAGGAGCAGGGUCCUUCUCCUUUUUUGGUCUUGUGAAAUCUUCUUUGAUUUCCUCAUCCCAGUGUCUUUUUGAUCUGGGCCAGGCUACGAGAGCAUACGAAGAGAGAGAGGCAAAGGCUAGCAGUUAAAGAAGAAAUGGCUGUGUGGAGGGACCAUGCAAUGACAAGGGCGUAUCACCUAAUUGUCAAUGAGUCUUUGCUUCAGUCCUUGUUUGACAAGCUUAGUGAAGAGUGGAGAUUGUCUGCAACUACAGUCGAAAGACCAGGUUCUUGUGUUGAAUAAUAAUGUCCACAUCUCUGUACAGGUGUGAUGAAAGGUGAAGGCUCGACAGAAAGGAUGUGAUCUCUGAGGCCAACAGCCUGCAGCUUGUCAGGAUCUUGAAGAAACAUGGCAGCCUCUCUCAUGUUGUGGCCUUGGCCAAUGAUCUCUUUAAUGCCCCAUUUUGCAGAGCAAUCUUUGCACGCACAUGCUUAAAGCACGGAUCAAGACUAGCUCUGCUUUGAUUAAACUGGGUCAUGGUUGCCAUAAAAGUUCUGAAAUUACAGAAAAACUACAUACACGCACACGAAUAAUAUCCACCAUGAUAACUUGUAGAAUGAAUAUUGAUAUAACCCUAAGGGGAAAAAAGCACUUGAAUUCUUCUGCUUUUCUGGGUUUUAACCAAGCUGAGGGCUGGGAGGGGCCCUUUUUUUGUCUUUCUCAUGUAGCUGAGGCUCAUGGCAUGUGCUUAGUAAGUGUUGAAUGUAUGAAUGAAAAAGCAAUGCUCGCUGAAAUGUUAACAAGCAAAUUCUGAUCUCACCGUAAGAGCAGAGUACCUUGCCAAUUUAACCGCAGCACAGUUAAAAAUACGGGGCCUGGAGCUGUCCAUGGUGGGAGCAAUUCAAACCAACCUGAUAUAAUUGUUAUUAAUGACCAGGCUGAGCAUGACACAGAGAUAAAAGGAAAUAGCUUGGAAGAGAGCCCUAAAUAAUCCGAAAAUGAGCUAAUCCACCAGGAAAAUGUGGAAUCGCUGUCUACACUCUUUAACACACAGCCUCAAAAUAUACAAAACAAAAGACAGAACAUGAACGCAAAGGAGAUAGGUCUCACUGUGGGAAAGGAACAGGUGUCUCAGGAACAGACAGGGUCUGGGGUUUUGGGGGAAGAGAAGCUUGGGCUGAGGUGGCGGGUGAGGGUCUUGGUGUCAAAGAAAACAAGUGCAAAGAUGAGUCUUCACGGUGGUCUGUGUGCUGCUGGCUCCAAGUGCUGAAAGGAACAGCCUGUGCCACCUACCAAAUACUUUCAGUCUGAAUAACUCAAGUUUAAAGCCGUGCAUCAAGGAUUGCUUGCAUUCCUAGCAAAGCACACAGAAGGGCACUGAAAAAUUAUAUUUUCAGAAUUCGCAGGGGUGGGGGAAUGGGCUACAUAGUAACACCCAACAGGAACUGAACUCUUCCUGUGUGUGUGCCAGGCAUUGUCCUAAGUAUUAACUCACUUAAUUCCACAACAAUCCUAUGUUUAUAAGCCAGGUUUCACCAAGGUUGUGGAACUUUAUAGAUGAGGAAGUGAAGGCAAACAGAAGGUAAGUUUGCCUAAUGACACAAACUGAUAGGGAUGGCAUUUGCAUGAAGCACCCUGGCCGCAGCAGCUUGGUGUCAGUCAGGUAUUUCGUGGUUGACUUGACUUCAGGCAAACCUGCUCGAUAACCACGAUUUUACCCACUUUUAAGAAUAUGGUAGCCUGCAUUAUUUAUAUUUAUGCAAUAUACCUCCCAUACCGACAUGGAGAUUUAAUUCUCAAUUGUCUGAGAAAUGGCAUCACAUUAUAUGGAAAGGACCAUUAAUGCAUCUGCUGAUUGGUUUGAACUGACUGGGAAAACAUUCCAAAUUCAUACUCACAACUCAAUUGAAUAGGCAUGAAAUAAAAUCUGACUUUUAUAGUCUUCUUCCUCUUUUGAUAAAUUAAAAGCUAGGUCUUAUUUUCAAAAUGCAGAACCAGAAUAUUGAUUCAAAGUGCAAAGAAUAUAAAUAGAAUUAACCUAAGACUGAAGCAAAACCUAUAGAAAAACCAUCUUCAGACCUUUUGGAUUU
rnacentral:lncRNA from 1 species